AAUGAACGUUGGCGGCGUGGAUUAGGCAUGCAAGUCGAGCGAGAAGGUUCCCUUCGGGGAACUGGAAAGCGGCAAACGGGGUAGUAAGGCGUAGGUAACUUGCCCUCAGGUCUGGGAUAGCCGUGGGAAACUGCGGGUAAUACCGGAUGAUCUCUCAGGAGCAAAGGUGCGAUUCCGCCUGAGGAGAGGCUUACGUGAUAUUAGCUUGUUGGUGAGGUAACGGCUCACCAAGGCAACGAUGUCUAGGGGGUGUGAGAGCAUGGCCCCCACACUGGGACUGAGACACUGCCCAGACACCUACGGGUGCUGCAGUCGAGAAUCUUCGGCAAUGGACGAAAGUCUGACCGAGCGACGCCGCGUGCGGGAUGAAGGCCCUUGGGUUGUAACCGCUGUCAGAGGGGAUGAAAUCAUGGUUGCUAUCCUUCAUGUUGAC
rnacentral:rRNA from 1 species